GGAGGGAGGAGCUUAUCUUAGAGCAUCUUAGAAAUUACUGCAGACCCAGCAGCCUUUACCCUUACAGGAAGGCAGGAAGUGGGAGAGGUGCCUCAGCAUCAAAACCUGUGAUUUACCCCAGUCCCCUGCAGCUUCAUGCUUCACCAUUUCGUAGGAGAUGAAGUGAGAAAUGCAGACAUCCUGAAGACAGCAAAGACUGUAGGGGCCUUCCAGGAGGAGAGGCAUAGAAAAGCUUCUGAGUUGAACAUGGAAGGUAGAGUCCGAGAAGGGCUUUAAAGUGCUCCCCCUCCUGCUCCCCAAACCUCAAGAAGAAAUCUCAUCCCAAAGAAAACCAGAAAAAUGCUGAUGGCAGCCAGUGAGGACCAGGUUAUGUGAAAGCUGAAUGGGAAGAUGAUCUGAAAUAAGCUGAAACACUCCUAUGACAACAGCAGUGAGAAAGUUAAUUUAGUGAUGCACUGAGCAUCUUCACAUUCUGCCAGGACCUGCUUGUUAUCGACCUCUUCCCUUAUCUGGCUCAAAGCCCACCUUGUAUUCUCCCCUGGUGGCUGUGCCUCAGUGGUCACCUUGCACGUGGUGAGCAAAGCACCUGCUGCUUUUGCAAAUGGCCAACUGUUUGAGUCAUUAACCAUCAACAUUUCAGUCUCUCACACACGGGGGAGCGGCUGUCCCCCUGCAGUCCACGGAGUCAAGAGGGAGUGCAGAGAUCCCCUACAGUCCAAGGAGAUUUAGGCUGGAGCAGCUGGAUUCCUGAGAAGAGGUUGUGAUCCAGAGAGAAGCCUGUGCUGGAGCAGGUCCUGGCAGGGACCUGCAGACAUGUGGAGAGAGGAGUCCACUCCAGAGCAGAUUCCUGGUAGGACUUGGGGCCCUGUGGGGAACCCAGGCUGGAGCAGGCUGUGCUUUGAGGAAUGAAUCUCAUGGAGGAGUGACCCACAUUGCAGCAGUUUGGGGAGGACUGCUGCCCAAGGGAUGGACUCACAAUGAAGUUGAUGGAGAACUGUCUCCUGUGGGAGGGACCCCACACUGGAAUGGGGCAAGGACUCUUCUCCCUGAGCAAUGGCAGAAACAGCCUGUGAUGAACCAACCAGAGCCUCCAUUCCCUGUCUCCCUGCACCAGUGAGGGGGAGGAGAUGGAGCUUGGAACAAGAGAGGGGUGGGAAGAAGGUGUUUUUAACAUUUACUUUAGUUCUCGUUACUCUGCUCUUAUUUUGUUGGUAACUAAAUCAGUUAAUAUCCCCAAGUUCAGUCUGUUUUGCCUGUGAUGACAAUCAAUCACUCUCCCUGUCCUUAACUCAUGAACUUUUUGCUAUAUUUUAUCUCCCCUGUGCAGUGGAGGGGAGGUAUAGAAAGGCUUUUGGUGGGUGCCUGUCAACUCACCUCAGUGACAGUAUGGAUGGAAUUAAUGAACAGACUCUAUACACUGUUUACUGCUGGUUGUGUUUAUUUGUUUGCUUGUUUGUUUUCCCACUUAUCAAUGAUUAUAGGUUUGUCUGGUUUUCUACUUGUCAAUAACUAUGGGUUUUUCUGGCAGGAUUAAUUCUGUGCGACAGGUAUGCUGAUGUACAUAAGCAUGUGUAGAUGAGUGCAGGGGUUUUUCAAACAGUCUUUAAUUACUCAUGACAUUGAAUUUACAGAUCCAGAUUCUCAAAUAAGGUACUUGAGAAGGAGUUGUGUGUGUAUUUUGAAUUUGUAGAAGACAUAUUUGGGCUCCCAUUUAAACAGUAUAUCAAAAUAAGGACAUGAAUUCAGUGAGUGUGAUCUUCAGCUGAGACACCAGUUUACAAACUGGUUAAUUACAUAUUUUAAAUACAUAAUUAUAUCGAGGGAAAUAUCUGCUAGUAUGUCAGAUAACUGGGUAUUCUAUUGCCACAACUAAAGGAAUUUUCCAAUUGCUUAGGAAGGGUAUUUUUUCCUCCUUUUCAUUUUAGAGAUCAAAUAGAGCAUACCCUCCAUUUGCUUGUCAGAAUUAGAAAGCUAAGUUAAGAAGAUGUUUAGAGAGAGGGGGUUUUUGCUACCUUGCUGUUAAAAUAAUGUUUUUCUGUCUAUAAGCACAAUAUUUUCAACAUUGUAAUGCUAGGAAGGAAGGACAAGAUUACUAGCUAUCAUCUCUGAUUUCGCUGUUUCCUGUUUCAUGUCUUAUAUGGCCUAAAAUUUCUGUAGAUAAAUGCAGUUUCCAAGUUAAACACAGACGUGGUGCAGUGUAAUUCUGGCAGGUGCUAUUGUGUUUGUGCUGUAAGAGGAGUUACCUGAUCUUGCUUGCCUUUGAAGCUGAGCCAAAAAGGGGGCUGAUUUGGCUUCCCCUCAAACAUGCAGUGAUGUAAAAUAGAAAUUUUCACCAGCAGGUACUUUUCAGAGGUGAAACAGGUCCUCAGUGAAGAGCUUGUUUUCCAGUCCUUCCUGGACUCUCACAAAUACCUGCCUGCUGUUCCUUAGGAAUUAUGCUUUCCUUUGCAAUUUUUGAAUGUGCUUUGCAGCAGUUUGUAGAGAUGCUGAUACAAAAGGAUAAAGGUUAAGGGUGUUCUAAGAGAUAUCACACAGAAAAUAAGUAAGGAAAGAGAAAUUGGCAAUAUAAUGCAGAGAUUAAGAAAGUGUGUUGCAAGAAAGGAUGUAAAGAUGCACGCAAAUAGGAGAAUUAAAUAGGGAAAAAUAAGAUAGUAGGCCAUGAUUGAAAAUGGUUAACAUGAAAACACAAGGCCGGCAAAAAGUAGCUAAGACAAUACUUAUUGAAAUUUCAUUCAUCAGAGGAACAAGAGAAACAAGAUCCUAAUUUCAUGAGCAUCCUAAAGUUCAGCAGGCAUAAAAUCAUACAGUUAAAUUACAGAAUACCAACACUCUAAAUCAUGCAUACAUACAUACAAACAAGAUGUUUAAAAAAAUAAAUGUAAUCUUAUUUUAAACUGCUUAUGGUUGCCCCCAGAACCAAUUUAGACAUUUUGUCUGUAAUACCCUGGCAUGGUUCCUGUAAAAAUGGGAGCGAUUUGAGAUUCAGCAAGUUGGUUAGCAAUUUAACUGAAAAAAAAAUCAACCUGGUACAGUCAAAUAAUGUUAAAAGGUUUUACUUAAGCUCAAAAAUCACAGAAUUCAAGCAUGACUAAAGUGGUGCUACUUAACCCCCUCCAUUCUGUGGAAGGAUUAUAGCAGCUAUUCAUUGUUUGAAAUCUCUUUUAACACUUAAAUCCAGCAGAUUAAAGAUAGGAUUUUGAGAACUGAGUGCUAGGUGAGGAGAUUGUGAGAAGAAUAAUGAUAAAAGGAGCCAUUGUCAUCAAAUUAGUUUAAUUUGAUAGUUAUAUUUAUAGUCAUGGGGGAUAAUGCGUAGGAGCUGGAAAUAUUUUUAAAUCCUGCUUUACUUCUUGUCUGUAAUGUUUCUUUUUUGAGUGUUAUGUCUGUUGUGCCUGUAUGAAAGUUGCUCACAAACUAGACAUAAUAGUCAAGUUUAAAAGCAUCUUUUUUUGAUUUUACUCUUCAUAAUGUGAUUCUUGUGACUAUCAGAACAAAUUGAUUUGUAAGAAAUCAGAUGCUUGGCUAAUGAAAAGCACUAUAAA